rnacentral:rRNA from 1 species
AUUGAACGCUGGCGGCAGGCCUAGCACAUGCAAGUCGAGCGGAUGAAGGGAGCUUGCUCCUGGAUUCAGCGGCGGACGGGUGAGUAAUGCCUAGGAAUCUGCCUGGUAGUGGGGGAUAACGUCCGGAAACGGGAGCUAAUACCGCAUACGUCAUGAGGGAGAAAGUGGGGGAUCUUCGGACCUCACGCUAUCAGAUGAGCCUAGGUCGGAUUAGCUAGUUGGUGGGGUAAAGGCCUACCAAGGCGACGAUCCGUAACUGGUCUGAGAGGAUGAUCAGUCACACUGGAACUGAGACACGGUCCAGACUCCUACGGGAGGCAGCAGUGGGGAAUAUUGGACAAUGGGCGAAAGCCUGAUCCAGCCAUGCCGCGUGUGUGAAGAAGGUCUUCGGAUUGUAAAGCACUUUAAGUUGGGAGGAAGGGCAGUAAGUUAAUACCUUGCUGUUUUGACGUUACCAACAGAAUAAGCACCGGCUAACUUCGUG